rnacentral:lncRNA from 1 species
ACGAGCAACCUCUAUCCCGAGAAAGUAGCGAAGAGAACCUAAGUCCUUGGUCUGAAAUUGCUGACUAAGGUGAUGCUUUAGGGCAGCAAUACCAAUAGAGUCAUCACCUGAGAUAAUGAUAUCAUCGACAUAGACAAUCAAGACAACAAUGCCAGCAGAAGAGUGUCGAACAAAUACUGAAUGAUCAGAGGUAGAACGUCGAAAACCAUAUGCAAGCACAACUGAGCUAAACCGAUCAAACCAAGCGCGCGGCGAUUGCUUGAGACCAUAUAGAGCUUUGCGCAAACGACAAACAAGGGGCGCACUACCAGAAACAACAUAACCAGGGCCAUAUAAACUUCUUCUUGAAGAUCACCAUGAAGAAAGGCAUUUUGAAUAUCAAGUUGAUACAACGGCCAAGAUCGACUGAUAGCAACCGAGAGAGAACAGAGUUUAGGCGAGCCACGGGAGAAAAUGUCUCCAGACACCAUAGGUCUGUGUGUAGCCUUUAGCCACCAAGCGUGCCUUAAGACGCUCAAUAGAACCAUCUGGGAGAUACUUUACUGUGUACACCCAACGACAACCAACUGCUUGUUUCCCUUGGGGAAGGGUGGUAAGCUCCCAAGUCUGAUUCUUAUGAAGAGCACUCAUUUCCUCAUCCAUAGCAUGUUUCCAACCAGGAAUAGACAUAGCCAGCUUAAAAGAGGAGGGAAUAGAAAUAGAAGACAGGGUGCAAGCAAAAGAGUGAAAGCAAGGGGAAAGUCGAGCAUAGGAAACAAAAUUAGCAAGAGGAUGUUGAGUACAAGAGCGUUUACCUCGGCGCAAGGCAAUAGGUAAAUCAUCAGAGUUAGGAGCAAAGGAGGGAUCAGGAACCUCUGACGAAGAAGAUGAAGAAGUGCAAACUGAAACUGAAGAAGAAGAGAAUGAAGAAGAUUUGCAAUCACAUCUGCUCAAGGAACUGUUCUUCUUGAACUCGGUAAAGCAGUUGAUGCUUACUUGAUUGCGGGUAUUGGCCUCAACCUACUAAUAGGAAUGUGACUGUCCUCUAGCCCUAGUUGGAACUGCCCUUUCCCGAGAAGAAGAGGAUACUAGCAGCCGUAGAAGGAGCAGGGUACAUUUCCAAGAGAGGACCCUUCCUUGCUGAAGAUGCCACCCUUGAACUCAAAGCGGACGUAACAACAGGGUUCACUACUGAGCGAGAACUCUUGGUUUCACUACUGAGCUAUAACUCACAGCUGAAGGAACUACUUGACUUGGAGUUACGAAUUGAGAGGGGUUUAUGACUGAGUGCCGACUCGAACUACUGGACGUCGGAUUGACGAGGGAAUGCUCUCCCACUCGAGCGACUCGGUUAACAGAUUUUCAUCCAACAGUCCUGAGUUCUUUUCAGACAAAAGAGUCAGGGGAUUGAGUGGAAUCCACGAGUCCGGAUUGAUUUUCAUCCCUUCUAUCUGUUCUCGAACAGGUAUCUAAUCGUAUCUAAGCGUCUUAAUAGGAUAGUACUGAGUUGAGCCCGUGUGUUCGCCCGAAUGCUGUGAGUCAGGAGUUGUAUCUGGGCAAGAGCCCUCUAUCUAUUCUUCUUACUACUAGUCUGAUUCCUCCUAUUCUUCUUACUAGGGCGUAGUUAGAGUAGAUUCAGAUUCCGCUAAUUGGAGUUCAACCAGAAGAAAUACCUGCAAUAGAGAAGAUGGCCUCACUACCUGCAUGAAUCAAGUAGUCAUUCCCUGCUUUAGAGAAUAAAAGCUGAAUCCAUACCUGUUUUAAAGAAAGUGGAGGAGAUCUCUUUCUGUGAUUUUUCUCGCUGUCUGACUAAGUCCCCAGUGUAAAUAACGAAUAGCGAACCAGUCUUUUUCUUCCUGUAUUUUGAGUUGGCAAUCUUUCUUAUCCCCUCCAAUUCUUGUUAAGUAUUGGUUUCCUUUUUCUUUUGAGUUCUUUCGGUCUUUGUCAGAGGGUAGGUGAGUGCCCUUUCUCCCUCCUUCACGGGUAUAGUAUAUAUUCCUCUCUCUCCUUUAAUCAAACUGGUCAGACUAUACUAUAUAGGCUAAUUAGCUGCCUUUUAGUCUGAUUAUGUGUUCUUUCUUUCUUGUCUUUUCCGGGUCUUAUCCGAGAUCAAAUCUUAACAGUGACAUCCAAUCAGAAACUACACUAAAGUCUAGCCUUUUUCAUGGGAAGUUACCCUAUUAUAAGUAAGCUAUAAGGAGUUCCCGAUGCGUCUAUCCUCGCGGGCAGGGCUCCUGCUGUUAGGUCUAGGGCAAGGGUGAGACCUAGGGGAAGAGUCAUAAUAGUCGUCGGAUUGGGUGUAACAAGUCUUCAAUCUCUUCUACGGCCAUGAUAGCCUAUCCAAAUCUUUCACUUCGACCUAAGUCAGCAGCUAAGGAGAGUUCUUGCAAUGGUCAGGCUAGCUACGGCAAAGUCUAAUAAAGAGGACUGACUCCUUCUAUUUGUAAGCAGUUCCCCCUUCUAGUGGUUCAAUAGCCUGCCACCUGACGACGGUUCGUGUUUGUAAAGAGAAAGAGACUGCAAGGGCUAAGGUAAGGCUAUGGGAUAAGAGACGGCUAUUCUUCCGAGUUGAAUGAGGAAUGCACUGAUCCCGGGUGGGCGAGGGAAUGGUCCUCUCUCUCUCUCCUCCUCUACUCGCAUUUAGUUCAUGGCAUAUAGGACUAUGCUUAAAUAGAAGACUUCUAUGAGUCUCCCAGUCCUAUCUUGAAUGUAGUGAGCCCUCUUCUUCGACCGAAUGAUGUCAGUUAGUUACUUACUGCUGAUAAUAGGCACCCAUGCACAUCUAGUCUAUAUAAUAGAAAGAGUAGGCAGCCAUGGAAUGAAAGCAAGAGUCCUCGUUUCAUGAAGAAUGAAUUGAUUCCAGGUCAUCUCCCGAAUGGGAUAUUGUAGGUGUUCCAGGUUAUGGGUCAGGUCAUCUAGGGACUAUGUAAUAAAGAGAAGACCCGCGGGUUAACCUUCGGUUCACCUCUUUUCAUCCAAGACUGAUCGACCUGAGGUUCACUUGAUUUGAUUCCUCUCACAAGGAGAAGAGCGCGGCAACUCGAUCCCUCAAUAGCAGAAAGCAGAAGAGAGCUUAUAGGCUGUUGAAGAUGGAGAGGACCAGCAGCAAUGAUUGGUUGCUUCAGCCAAGCGAUCAACGCUGACAAGAAAGAAAAGAGGGUUGAGUUAUAAGUAGGACAGUCCAAGACCGGAGAUGAUUGAGUUGGUCAAGCGAAAGCGGGACAUGCCAGGCUAACAGAGAAAGAAAGGCACUCUUCCAUGAAAGGGACAAGGGGAGGCCCCAUAUUAAAUAACCCAAGAAAGACUUUAACACGAGAAACUCACGGGACAGAAAUAGGCUCACUUCGGAAAGCUUACUUAGCGGAGCUUAAGAAAUGCGAGAGAAGGGGGAUAGAAAGCCUUAUAACGAUAGUUUAGGGAUUAGCGUCGAAUAUCGAUCGUUAAGGAGCUUUGAAACUGGCAUUCUGUAGACAUAAAAAUGCACAUAGAAUUGAUCUCAAUCAUAGACUCUUUAUCUACUCUACUUGCUUGUUCUACGUAAUCUUCCCUCCUAAUACUUACUAGUCAUAACCGCUACUACAGAUAGUGCUAGAUAGUCUGGAAAGGGCACCACUGACUCCAUUCCCUACGAAAGGGUUUAAUAGCUACCACUGCUAAAAGCAUGAGUUCCGAGCUAAGGGUGAAUUGAAAAAAAAAAAAGCAUUAGCCGCAUUCAAUUAAUGCCUUUUGCUUCAAGUUCCUAGAAUAGGGUGGCCCUCUCCCCUAUCUUGUUCUUAAAGCUUCUGCCUUCAAAAGGAGAAUGAAAGUCAUUCAAUGGCUUGAGACUUUCUUGCUUUCCUGUUCGAGCUCCUUCUUCCCGGAUGCCUUAAAGGACAACUUCUUACAGGAAAGAAAAACCUAUAUCAGAUAGAUGUAACAGGCCUUAGAAAACUGAAGGAAGUGAAACCUCUAGCCUAACGCUCGCCUAGCUAAAGGAAAGAGAGACGCUCCUAGCUUGACCUACCAGGUACGCCUUCCAUUGAGCGGCUCUUUGAAGACUUUCUGCUGCUUGCCACUCCUCCGAUUGAUUGAGCUUCUACUCGCAGGGGAGAAGUGAGCUGAUCGAGCUCAAUCUCUAAGUUGAUCCGGUUGAAGAGAGUUAUCACGAUGUAGCAGGGGGUCCUCCAGUCUAUGACCUACCGUUUUCUUUGCUAAGCAGUACGCCUAGGAUAAAAAAGACAGGUGGCAUAGCGAUCCCUACCAAUACGACUGGACACCGCAUCUCGUCCUCAUUCCUCUACUAAAAGCGGUAUGCUUGCGAAGACCAUUUCUGGUCUAUCCGUGUUAAUGAAAUCCAUCCCGUGAAACAAAGGAGAGUUCAUUCGUGGGAUAAAUAAAGAGAGACUAGCCAUAUCAGACAGCUUUCAAUGGCCUUAGCGAAAGAGAAGAACUAGAGGGAAUAGAAUAGGAGGUGGGAUUGGCAUGGCUGGUCUACGAACCUGGGCUUUGGAAAGACUGAGGAUAGGCAGAAAUUGAGGAGAAGUCCCCCUCGAAAAAGAAUAAGAAUCCCGUGAACAACUCAUAAAGAGAAUCAUAACAACUCUUAGUAGCGGAAAGCCCCUUUGAGUAAGCUUAAGCUACUGCCCUCUUGCCUCCCUUUAUUUAAUAUAAAAAUGGUUGGAGCUCUUUCUUUGCUUGUUUUCUUUUAGUCAGUCAGCUGAAAAGACUUGCUUGCUUUUCCUCUAUUAAUGAAGUUUCGAAAGAAAGAAAAUCAGUCUAACGAAGGAGCCCAAGUCCACUCAAGUGCUUUCAAGGACAGUGACUUACACUGGGGGAAAUGGAAAGUCUAACUUCAAAGUAAAAUGCGUUAACAGAAAUGAUAAUAAAGACUAUAUUCAUUCAUCCGAGACAGCUACUAGAGGCGGUCUAUCUGAUGAGCUUUCUUUCCUUUUUAGCCGCGUAAGGCCUGUGAUCUCAUCUCGACCAUUACCGAUGUCAUCUGUCUUGUUUGCAACUUGAGGUUCAUCCCUCGCCUGGGUUCC